rnacentral:lncRNA from 1 species
UUUUCAUGGCAGGAUCAGUCUGGUAUGUCUGAAGAGCUUCUUUCACGAACCACUGGCAAAAGGCAGGGCCAAUCCACUCUCUUGCAUGAAUCCCGCAGUCUAUCCAGACAGCUUUCUUGUAAGGUCGUGAUCUUUUACCUAGCUUGAGCACAUACAGUGGUCUCCCUUCAUAGGAUUUUCCAACAGAGAACAUAUGAACAAGAUCUGAAUGAGUUUUGU